GAGCGGGCGUAGCAAUACGUCAGCGGCAGACGGGUGAGUAACGCGUGGGAACGUACCUUUUGGUUCGGAACAACACAGGGAAACUUGUGCUAAUACCGGAUAAGCCCUUACGGGGAAAGAUUUAUCGCCAUUGGAUGGGCCCGCGUCGGAUUAGCUAGUUGGUGGGGUGACGGCUCACCAAGGCGACGAUCCGUAGCUCGUCUGAGAGGAUGAUCAGCCACACUGGGACUGAGACACGGCCCAGGCUCCUACGGGAGGCAGCAGUGGGGAAUAUUGGACAAUGGGCGCAAGCCUGAUCCAGCCAUGCCGCGUGAGUGACGAAGGCCUUAGGGUUGUAAAGCUCUUUUGGCGGGGAAGAUAAUGACGGUACCCGCAGAAUAAGCUCCGGCUAACUUCGUG
rnacentral:rRNA from 1 species